rnacentral:rRNA from 1 species
UACGUAGGUGACGAGCGUUAUCCGGAUUUAUUGGGCGUAAAGCGCACGCAGGCGGCAGAGAAAGCCUGACGUGAAAUCUCCCGGCUUAACUGGGAGCGGUCGUUGGAAACUACUUGGCUUGAGGCGAUGAGAGGGGUGUGGAAUUCCCGGUGUAGUGGUGGAAUGCGUAGAUAUCGGGGGGAACAUCAGUGGCGAAAGCGGCACCCUGGCAUUAGCCUGACGCUCUGUGCGAAAGCGUGGGGAGCGAACGGG